ACAAGACAAGUCAACAGAGACAGAUGAACAAGGAGCAAUGGAAAUCAAUCAGAAGAGAGACAGCUAAAAUUAGAAAGAAACCAAUUUUUCUUCAGGUGAUUACAUGGCCUCUCCCAAUCUCAUGACCACCACAUUGGCAGAUAUCAUGGCCAUUAUUCCAGAAGAUCACAUAGCUGAUUCAGGAGAGCUCCUAUUCACUCAGAUAGAUCUCAUGUCUACUCAGGUAGAACUAAUAGCUCUACAGAUAGACCACACCAUGACCUCUCAGAAAGUCCACAUCAUAACCAUUCAGAUAUAGUACACUAUGACCUCUCAGAUAGACCAUAUCAUGUCCUAUUAGUUAGACUACACCAUUGACCUCCCAGAUAGACUGUAUCAUGACCUCUCAGAUAGACUGCAUCAUGAACUCUCAGUUAGACCACAUCCUGACCUCUCAGGAAUGCCACACCAGGACCUCCCAGUUAACCCACUUUAUGACCUAUCAGGUAGACAACCACAUGAUAAUUCAAGUAGACCAUAUCAUGAGUAAGCAGUUAGACCAUAUCAUGACCUCUCAGGUAUACCACACCAUGACCUCUCAGAGAGACCACACCAUGAACUCUCAGAUAGACCAUAUCCUUACCUCUCAGGUAGACCACACCAUGACCUCUCAGACCACACCAUGAAGUUUCAGGUAGACCACUUCAUGACCUCUCAGGUAUACCACACCAUGACUGCUCAGAUAUACUACACCAUGACCACUCAGAUAUACCAUACCAUGACCUCCCAGUUAGACCACAUCUUGACCACUCAGUUAGACCACUUCAUGACCUCUCAGGUAGACCACAUCAUGACUACUUAGGUACACCAUGUCAAUACCACUCAGGUAGACAAACUCAUAAUAAUUCAAGUAGACCAUACCAUGAGUAAUCAGGUAGACCAUAUCAUGACCACUCAGAUAGACCGCACCAUGAACUCUCAGACCACUUCAUAACUACUCAGGUAGACCACAUCAUAACCAUACAGUUAGGCUUCAACAUGGCCACUCAGAUAGAUUGCAUCUUAAGCAUACAGUGAGAGUUCUUCCCAGAAACUCAAGGAUAGCUCAUCCUGGCAAUACAGAGAGAGAGAUAAUCAAGUCCAAAGAGGGAGAGCUCAUGAUAACCAUACAUAGUUAGCUCAACUUAUUAUGACAGCACAUUUCAUCAUGACCACUCAGGGAGAGCUUAUCAUGGUCAUGCAGGGAAAGCUCAAAACAACUAGUCAUGGAGAGCUCAUAACAACCAGUCAUGGAGAGAUCAUAACAUCCAGUCACAGAGAGGUCAUGACAACCAGACAUGGAGAGGUCAUAAUAAUCAUUCAUGGAGUGCUUGUAACAUCUGGUCACAGAGAGAUCAUUAUGACCGUUCAUUGAGAUCUAGUACCAUCCAGUCAUGGAUGCCUCAUGAAGCAGAAAGAUACCAUGGUUGAAGAGGAAGAAAUGGACCAAGGGAUGCAUCACCACCAGGAACUAAGACAGAAAUUGACAA
rnacentral:lncRNA from 1 species